rnacentral:rRNA from 1 species
UACGUAGGUGGCGAGCGUUAUUCGGAUUUACUGGGCGUAAAGAGUCCGUAGGGGGAUUAGUAAGUUUGGUGUGAAAGCCUGAGGCUCAACCUCAGAACUGCACUGAAAACUGCUAAUCUCGAGUUCUGGAGAGGUAAGUGGAAUUUGUGGUGUAGCGGUGGAAUGCGUAGAUAUCACAAGGAACUCCAAUGGCGAAGGCAGCUUACUGGACAGAUACUGACCCUGAGGGACGAAAGCUAAGGUAGCGAAAAGG